rnacentral:rRNA from 1 species
UACCAGCACCCCGAGUGGUCGGGACGAUUAUUGGGCCUAAAGCAUCCGUAGCCGGUUCUACAAGUCUUCCGUUAAAUCCACCUGCUUAACAGUUGGGCUGCAGAGGAUACUAUAGAGCUAGGAGGCGGGAGAGGCAAGCGGUACUUAGUGGGUAGGGGUAAAAUCCGUUGAUCCACUGAAGACCACCAGUGGCGAAGGCGGCUUGCCAGAACGCGCUCGACGCUGAUGUGCGAAAGCGUGGGGAGCAAACAGG